GCGACCACGGCGUUCUACGCAUGCGCACAAGACUACUCCCUUCACGGGGACGCACAACGGACUUGUCAGGAGAAUAACACGUGGUCGGGGCAGGAACCCAAAUGUGUUUGCAAGUCGGGGGACACGGCGUCCUGCAAUGUCAAUGACUGCCAUGGUUACAACACAACCGUACUGCUGCAGUGUUGCGAAACAUGUUCGGAGAUACUUGGAUCUUUAACUACAUUAACCUCGCCCACAUUUACGUUUACAACUUCACGGACAGCUUCAUCAGGAUCUGCUACUCGUACACCACCACCGACAACGCCUUUUAGAUCAUCUGUUACCAAGGAGACAUUAGGUGGGAACGUGUGUCCUCUAUUCGAGGCCAGCGGAGGCUGUGAAAGCGGGUCCCAUUGUGAGAACAAAGAGGGGAAACCAGUCUGUGU